rnacentral:tRNA from 1 species
UGGGGGUUCGUCUAGUGGUAGGACAGUAGACUCUGGAUCUACACACCGAGGUUCGACUCCUCGACCCCCAGCCU